GAACUUCUCAGAUGCGUAUCUGAAUCUGGGAAAUGUAUACAAGGCUUUGGGAAUGCCUCAGGAGGCUAUUGUGUGUUAUCAGCGUGCGCUCCAAGUACGACCAGACUAUGCCAUGGCUUUUGGCAACUUAGCUAGUGGGUACU